AAAUUGUUUACAAUGAAAAUGAUGGUGGGGGAAAACCGAUGCUUUAAACAAGUUCUUAGUGUCUGUUUUUAAAGAAGGAACUCACUUCACGUGACAGGAGUAGGAAUUGUUAAAUGGACUGACUGCUAAUGAAACCCCGGACUUCAAUCAGCAAAAAGAGACAGAAUUUGAAAUUGUUCCAAUACGGUUUUGAUGGUUUGCUACUGAAGCUGAUAUAUUUGGGUCAGUUUUAUUGUUAUUUCUGAGCUGUUUUUGCAUCAGAGGUGUUUUUAAUGCGCAAGCUAUAACAGUACCGACACAUGCACUUCCUGGGUGGCCACCUUAUUCCACAUUGUAUUGUUGCACUUUUCUGCAAGCUUGCUAGAAACAAACUGCACUUAUUGUAAAAUGUAGUCACUUGAAAAAGUGUCCACAUAAUGAGAUGCCAAAUACACUUUCUAACCGUCUGAAUAGCAGGUGAAGGGAAGAGGCACACAGUUUGUACACAUCCACCUAAGCAUGCAUGCUCCUAAAUCACAGCUUGUAUUU